rfam:Glossina brevipalpis unplaced genomic scaffold Scaffold14, whole genome shotgun sequence.
AAUUAGAAAAUAUUCCACUAACAUACUACCAGCCUCCGCGAAAUAAUACCUUACGGUGGUCCCGCGGAAGAGACUGGUCGACGAAAUGUGUUUAGGGGGUAGGUUUAGUACGUAGGUGCAAUGGAUGGUGAAUCGUGCAUGCGACUGGCACGGGCCUGUAGUAUCUUUGGAAGAUUCCUACCUCCAGC